rnacentral:tRNA from 1 species
GUGAGUGUAGUUUAACUAAAACUCUAAGUUGUGAUCUUAGAAAUGAGUACUAACCUACUCCACUCACC